ACUGACAUUGGUGGUGGCCUGGUGGUCGUAUGUAUGACGUCAUUUACUUCAGUGUUUGGAGUGACAUCAUAUGUACGGCUGCUAAACUGCUACAUGGGACAUCA
rnacentral:pre_miRNA from 1 species